rnacentral:rRNA from 1 species
CCUACGGGUGGCAGCAGUAGGGAAUUUUCCACAAUGGGCGAAAGCCUGAUGGAGCAACGCCGCGUGUGUGAAGAAGGUCUUCGGAUCGUAAAACCCUGUUGUUAGAGAAGAAAGUGCGUUAGAGUAACUGUUCACGUUUCGACGGUAUCUGACCAGAAAGCAACGGCUAACUACGUGCCAGCAGCCGCGGUAAUACGGAGGUUGCAAGCGUUAUCCGGAUUUAUUGGGCGUAAAGGGAACGCAGGCGGUCUUUUAAGUCUGAUGUGAAAGCCUUCGGCUUAACCGGGGUAGUGCAUUGGAAACUGGGAGACUUGAGUGCAGAAGAGGAGAGUAGAAUGCCAUGUGUAGCGGUGAAAUGCGUAGAGAUAUGGAAGAACACCAGUGGCGAAAGCGGCUCUCUGGUCUGUAACUGACGCUGAGGUUCGAAAGCGUGGGUAGCAAACAGGAUUAGAUACCCCUGUAGUC